rnacentral:rRNA from 1 species
CACGGGGGGAGCAAGCGUUGUUCGGAAUUACUGGGCGUAAAGGGCGUGUAGGCGGUCGAGUAAGUGGGAUGUGAAAUGCUCCGGCUCACCCGGAGACCGGCACCUCAAACUGCUCGGCUCGAGUAUGGGAGAGGAUGAGGGAAUUCCUGGUGUAGCGGUGAAAUGCGUAGAGAUCGGGAGGAACACCAGAGGCGAAGGCGGCUCGCUGGACAGUUACUGACACUCAACUACGAAAGCGUGGGGAGCAAACAGG